GGCACAUAGCUCAGUGGUAGAGCAUAUGCUUUGAAUGCAGAAGGUUCCAGAUUCAAUCCCUGACAUCUCCA